rnacentral:rRNA from 1 species
UACGAAGGGAGCUAGCGUUGUUCGGAAUCACUGGGCGUAAAGCGCACGUAGGCGGACUUGUCAGUCAGGGGUGAAAUCCCGGGGCUCAACCUCGGAACUGCCUCUGAUACAGCAAGUCUUGAGUCCGGAAGAGGUGGGUGGAAUUCCUAGUGUAGAGGUGAAAUUCGUAGAUAUUCGCAAGAACACCAGUGGCGAAGGCGGCUCACUGGCCCGAUACUGACGCUGAGGUGCGAAAGCCAGGGAGCAAAGCGGG